rnacentral:rRNA from 1 species
GACGAACGCUGGCGGCGUGCCUAAUACAUGCAAGUAGAACGCUGAAGGAGGAGCUUGCUUCUCUGGAUGAGUUGCGAACGGGUGAGUAACGCGUAGGUAACCUGCCUGGUAGCGGGGGAUAACUAUUGGAAACGAUAGCUAAUACCGCAUAAGAGUAGAUGUUGCAUGACAUUUGCUUAAAAGGUGCAAUUGCAUCACUACCAGAUGGACCUGCGUUGUAUUAGCUAGUUGGUGGGGUAACGGCUCACCAAGGCGACGAUACAUAGCCGACCUGAGAGGGUGAUCGGCCACACUGGGACUGAGACACGGCCCAGACUCCUACGGGAGGCAGCAGUAGGGAAUCUUCGGCAAUGGACGGAAGUCUGACCGAGCAACGCCGCGGGAGUGAAGAAGGGUUUCGGAUCGUAAAGCUCUGUUGUAAGAGAAGAACGAGUGUGAGAGUGGAAAGUUCACACUGUGACGGUAUCUUACCAGAAAGGGACGGCUAACUACGUG